GACGAACGCUGGCGGCGUGCUUAACACAUGCCAGUCGAACGGAAAGGCCCUGCUUUUGUGGGGUGCUCGAGUGGCGAACGGGUGAGUAACACGUGAGUAACCUGCCCUUGACUUUGGGAUAACUUCAGGAAACUGGGGCUAAUACCGGAUAGGAGCUCCUGCUGCAUGGUGGGGGUUGGAAAGUUUCGGCGGUUGGGGAUGGACUCGCGGCUUAUCAGCUUGUUGGUGGGGUAGUGGCUUACCAAGGCUUUGACGGGUAGCCGGCCUGAGAGGGUGACCGGCCACAUUGGGACUGAGAUACGGCCCAGACUCCUACGGGAGGCAGCAGUGGGGAAUAUUGCACAAUGGGCGGAAGCCUGAUGCAGCAACGCCGCGUGCGGGAUGACGGCCUUCGGGUUGUAAACCGCUUUCGCCAGUGACGAAGCGUGAGUGACGGUAAUGGGUAAAGAAGCACCGGCUAACUACGUG
rnacentral:rRNA from 1 species